AGGACUGGCUUGCACUCAACGUACGUGUCCAUGUUACUCGCCUCUUAAAGGGUCAUUGGUGAGCUGGCCAAGAGAUUUGAGAUUCUUUUCACUGAAUUGGCAGGAAGAAACAAGAUUGAAGAAAACAACCGGUGUCACUUUCUGAGGAGUACAGUGUUUUGUAUCAGCUCUUCGGGCAUUUCCUCGAGGUGUAAUUUGCGGAUGCUGGCAAUAUGCUCAAUUCCCUGUGGCUGUUGAGCUUGGGGAAUCCUCUUGCCCUGAAGUGCAGGAUCUUGCCAUUGUAUGCGUUUUGAAGCUCGAGGAACACGAGAAUUGGAAGUUCGUCAAUAGGAGGA